UACAGAGGCCUCGAGCGUUAGGCGGAAUCACUGGGCUUAAAGCGUGUGUAGGCGGACUUCUAAGUACCUUGUGAAAGCCCCCGGCUCAACCGGGGAACGGGCGCCGAUACGACCGCCCUGGAGGGACGUAGGGGGACCUGGAACUUCCGGUGGAGCGGUGAAAUGCGUUGAGAUCGGAAGGAACGCCCGUGGCGAAAGCGAGGUCCUGGACGUUUUCUGACGCUGAGACGCGAAAGCCAGGGGAGCGAACGGG
rnacentral:rRNA from 1 species